UAACGAAUAUUCCGCAAUGGACGAAAGUCUGACGGAGCAAUGCCGCGUGCAGGAUGAAGCGGUUUCGCCGUGUAAACUGCUGUCAGGGGCAGGAAAAACUGAUCCGCCCCAAAGGAAGAGACGGCUAACCCUGUGCCAGCAGCCGCGGUAAUACAGGGGUCUCGAGCGUUAAUCGGAAUCACUGGGCUUAAAGGGUGCGUAGGCGGAUCCGUAAGCGCUUUGUGAAAUCCCCCGGCUCAACCGGGGAACUGCAGGGCGAACUGCGGAUCUUGAGGAAACUAGAGGCCGGUAGAACGAUUGGUGGAGCGGUGGAAUGCGUAGAUAUCAAUCGGAAUGCCAAAAGUGAAGACAGCCGGCUGGGGUUUUCCUGACGCUGAGGCACGAAAGCGUGGGGAGCAAACCGGAUUAGAUACCCCAGUAGUCCCUGAGCGGGCUGGCAAGGCGCAU
rnacentral:rRNA from 1 species